rnacentral:rRNA from 1 species
CCGCGUGUGNGAAGAAGGUCUUCGGAUUCNAAAGCACUUUAAGUUGGGAGGAAGGGCAGUAAGUUAAUACCUUGCUGUUUUGACGUUACCAACAGAAUAAGCACCGGCUAACUUCGUGCCAGCAGCCGCGGUAAUAA